rnacentral:rRNA from 1 species
AUUGAACGCUGGCGGCAGGCCUAACACAUGCAAGUCGAGCGGAGCGGCUGACGGGUGAGUAAUGCCUAGGAAUCUGCCUGGUAGUGGGGGAUAACGUCCGGAAACGGGCGCUAAUACCGCAUACUAUCAGAUGAGCCUAGGUCGGAUGAGCUAGUUGGUGGGGUAAAGGCCUACCAAGGCGACGAUCCGUAACUGGUCUGAGAGGAUGAUCAGUCACACUGGAACAGAGACACGGUCCAGACUCCUACGGGAGGAAGCAGGGGGGAAUAGUGGACAAUGGGAGAAUGCCGGAUCGAGCCAUGCCGCGUGUGUGAAGAAGGUCUUCGGAUUGUAAAGAACUUUAAGUUGGGAGGCGUUAGCAACAGAAUAAGCACCGGCUAACUUCGUGCCAGCAGCCGCGGUAAUAC